rnacentral:piRNA from 1 species
UCUGCUUUUGUAGGAUUUUCACUGUCCUA